rnacentral:rRNA from 1 species
UAGCAAUACGAUGGAAAGUUUAGUGGCGAACGGGUGCUUAACACGUGGGCAACCUGCCAGGAAGUGGGGGAUAGCUCGCCGAAAGGCGAAUUAAUACCGCAUGUGAUUAGAGAGGACAUCCUUUCAAAAUUAAAGUCGGGGCAACCUGACGCUUCUUGUGGGGCCCGCGGCCUAUCAGCUAGUUGGUGAGGUAACGGCUCACCAAGGCGAUGACGGGUAGCUGGUCUGAGAGGACGACCAGCCACACUGGAACUGAGACACGGUCCAGACACCUACGGGUGGCAGCAGUCGAGAAUUUUUCUCAAUGGGGGAAACCCUGAAGGAGCGACGCCGCGUGGAGGAUGAAGGUCUUCGAAUUGUAAACUCCUGUCAUUGGUGAACAAGGCCCACGCAGUAACUGGUGUUGGGUUUGAUAGUAGCCGAAGAGGAAGAGACGGCUAACUCUGUGCCAGCAGCCGCGGUAAUACAGAGGUCUCAAGCGUUGUUCGGAUUCAUUGGGCGUAAAGGGUGCGUAGGCUGUGGGGUAAGUCUGGUGUGAAAUCCCGGAGCUCAACUCCGGAACUGCACUGGAUACUGCUUUACUAGAGCACUGGAGAGGGAACUGGAAUUCACGGUGUAGCA